GACGAAGGAUGCAAGCGUUAUCCGGAUUCAUUGGGUUUAAAGGGAGCGUAGGCGGGCUUGUAAGUCAGUGGUGAAAUCUGUAGGCUUAACCCACAAACUGCCAUUGAUACUGCAGGUCUAGAGUACAGUUGCCGUUGGCGGAAUAUGACAUGUAGUGGUGAAAUACUUAGAUAUGUCAUAGAACACCGAUUGCGAAGGCAGCUAACGAAACUGUAACUGACGCUGAGGCUCGAAAGUGCGGGGAUCAAACAGG
rnacentral:rRNA from 1 species